rnacentral:miRNA from 1 species
AAAGUGAAAGGUGACUGAGAC